CGUUAUAACCGGCGAUUUCCGAAUGGGGAAACCCAGUGUGAUUCGUCACACUAUCAUUAACUGAAUCCAUAGGUUAAUGAGGCGAACCGGGGGAACUGAAACAUCUAAGUACCCCGAGGAAAAGAAAUCAACCGAGAUUCCCCCAGUAGCGGCGAGCGAACGGGGAGGAGCCCAGAGCCUGAAUCAGUGUGUGUGUUAGUGGAAGCGUCUGGAAAGGCGCGCGAUACAGGGUGACAGCCCCGUACACAAAAAUGCACAUGCUGUGAGCUCGAUGAGUAGGGCGGGACACGUGGUAUCCUGUCUGAAUAUGGGGGGACCAUCCUCCAAGGCUAAAUACUCCUGACUGACCGAUAGUGAACCAGUACCGUGAGGGAAAGGCGAAAAGAACCCCGGCGAGGGGAGUGAAAAAGAACCUGAAACCGUGUACGUACAAGCAGUGGGAGCACGCUUAGGCGUGUGACUGCGUACCUUUUGUAUAAUGGGUCAGCGACUUAUAUUCUGUAGCAAGGUUAACCGAAUAGGGGAGCCGAAGGGAAACCGAGUCUUAACUGGGCGUUAAGUUGCAGGGUAUAGACCCGAAACCCGGUGAUCUAGCCAUGGGCAGGUUGAAGGUUGGGUAACACUAACUGGAGGACCGAACCGACUAAUGUUGAAAAAUUAGCGGAUGACUUGUGGCUGGGGGUGAAAGGCCAAUCAAACCGGGAGAUAGCUGGUUCUCCCCGAAAGCUAUUUAGGUAGCGCCUCGUGAAUUCAUCUCCGGGGGUAGAGCACUGUUUCGGCAAGGGGGUCAUCCCGACUUACCAACCCGAUGCAAACUGCGAAUACCGGAGAAUGUUAUCACGGGAGACACACGGCGGGUGCUAACGUCCGUCGUGAAGAGGGAAACAACCCAGACCGCCAGCUAAGGUCCCAAAGUCAUGGUUAAGUGGGAAACGAUGUGGGAAGGCCCAGACAGCCAGGAUGUUGGCUUAGAAGCAGCCAUCAUUUAAAGAAAGCGUAAUAGCUCACUGGUCGAGUCGGCCUGCGCGGAAGAUGUAACGGGGCUAAACCAUGCACCGAAGCUGCGGCAGCGACGCUUAUGCGUUGUUGGGUAGGGGAGCGUUCUGUAAGCCUGCGAAGGUGUGCUGUGAGGCAUGCUGGAGGUAUCAGAAGUGCGAAUGCUGACAUAAGUAACGAUAAAGCGGGUGAAAAGCCCGCUCGCCGGAAGACCAAGGGUUCCUGUCCAACGUUAAUCGGGGCAGGGUGAGUCGACCCCUAAGGCGAGGCCGAAAGGCGUAGUCGAUGGGAAACAGGUUAAUAUUCCUGUACUUGGUGUUACUGCGAAGGGGGGACGGAGAAGGCUAUGUUGGCCGGGCGACGGUUGUCCCGGUUUAAGCGUGUAGGCUGGU
rnacentral:rRNA from 1 species